rnacentral:rRNA from 1 species
AUACGGAGGAUCCAAGCGUUAUCCGGAAUCAUUGGGUUUAAAGGGUCCGUAGGCGGCUUAAUAAGUCAGCGGUGAAAGUUUUUGGCUUAACCAAAAAAUUGCCAUUGAUACUGUUAGGCUUGAAUUUUUGUGAAGUAACUAGAAUAUGUAGUGUAGCGGUGAAAUGCUUAGAUAUUACAUGGAAUACCAAUUGCGAAGGCAGGUUACUAACAAACGAUUGACGCUGAUGGACGAAAGCGUGGGUAGCGAACAGGAUUAGAUACCCUGGUAGUCCACGCCGUAAACGAUGGAUACUAGCUGUUCGGGAGCAAUUCUGAGUGGCUAAGCGAAAGUGAUAAGUAUCCCACCUGGGGAGUACGGGCGCAAGCCUGAA